rnacentral:misc_RNA from 1 species
GAUGAAGAACGCAGCAAAAUGCGAUAAGUAAUGUGAAUUGCAGAAUUCAGUGAAUCAUCGAAUCUUUGAACGCACAUUGCGCCCGCUGGUAUUCCGGCGGGCAUGCCUGUUCGAGCGUCAUUUCAACCCUCAAACCCCCCGGGUUUGGUGUUGGGGAUCGGCUCUGCCUCACGGCGGUGCCGCCCCCGUAAUACAUUGGCGGUCUCGCUGCAGCCUCCAUUGCGUAGUAGCUAACACCUCGCAACUGGAACGCGGCGCGGCCAUGCCGUAAAACCCCAACUUCUGAAUGUUGACCUCGGAUCAGGUAGGAAUACCCGCUGAACUUAAGCAUAUCAAUAAGCGGAGGA